UUACCCGUCCGGGCUAAAUCCAUUUUACACGUAUUCUUCGGGAGGGCUAUAUCAGAAUAGGAUCACCCGUCCGGGCUAGAUCCUUUUUACCGUCAAUUCCUUUUCAGAGAUCCAUCGAAUUUUCCUUUCAUUCAACCGGGAUUUAUUUUCAAUUUAUAUCGAGUAUUAUCAAUAUUUCAUCAAAUAUCAUGAAUUGAACAUUCAAAUCAUAUUUUCAUCACAUAACCACAUAUUUCAAGUAUUUAAAAUACAAUUCAAGUUACACCAACUUACCU
rnacentral:lncRNA from 1 species